UCAGGAUGAACGCUAGCGCGGGCUUAACACGAUGCAAGUCGAGGGGCAUCGGGAGUAGCAAUACGUUGCCGGCGACCGGCGCAAGGGUGCGUAACGCGUGAGCAACAUGCCCGUAUCAGGGGGAUAAUCCAUGGAAACGUGGUCUAAUACCCCAUAGUAAUUAUGUAAGGCAUCUUAUAUAAUUUAAAGCUUUGGUGGAUACGGAUUGGCUCGCGUGACAUUAGCUAGAUGGUAAGGUAACGGCUUACCAUGGCUACGAUGUCUAGGGGUUCUGAGAGGAAGGCCCCCCACACUGGAACUGAGACACGGUCCAGACUCCUACGGGAGGCAGCAGUGAGGAAUAUUGGACAAUGGAUGGAAAUCUGAUCCAGCCAUGCCGCGUGCAGGAAGAACCGGCCCUAUGGGUUGUAAACUGCUUUUGUAUGGGAGCAAUAAGGGCUACGCGUAGUCCGAUGAGAGUACCAUACGAAUAAGCACCGGCUAACUCCGUGCCAGCAGCAGC
rnacentral:rRNA from 1 species